UGGGGGAUAGUUUAGCGGUAGAACUGCCGGCUCUGGACCGGCCAGCCCUGGUUCGAAUCCAGGUCCCCCAGCCA
rnacentral:tRNA from 1 species